GCCAGGUGUGGUGGUGCACACCUGUAAUCCCAGCAGCUCAGGAGGCUGAGGCAGGAGGAUUGCUAGUUCAAAGCCAGACUCAGCAACUUAGCAAGGCCCUAUGCAACUGUGAGACUCUGUCUCAA
rnacentral:sRNA from 1 species